rnacentral:rRNA from 1 species
AAUUGACGGGGGCCCGCACAAGCGGUGGAGCAUGUGGUUUAAUUCGAUGCAACGCGAAGAACCUUACCUGGCCUUGACAUCCACGGAAUUCGGCAGAGAUGCCUUAGUGCCUUCGGGAACCGUGAGACAGGUGCUGCAUGGCUGUCGUCAGCUCGUGUUGUGAAAUGUUGGGUUAAGUCCCGCAACGAGCGCAACCCUUAUCCUUUGUUGCCAGCGAGUAAUGUCGGGAACUCAAAGGAGACUGCCGGUGACAAACCGGAGGAAGGUGGGGAUGACGUCAAGUCAUCAUGGCCCUUACGGCCAGGGCUACACACGUGCUACAAUGGCGCAUACAAAGAGAAGCGAACUCGCGAGAGCAAGCGGACCUCACAAAGUGCGUCGUAGUCCGGAUCGGAGUCUGCAACUCGACUCCGUGAAGUCGGAAUCGCUAGUAAUCGUAGAUCAGAAUGCUACG